CAAAUAUUUUUUUAGCUGGAUCCUGACGAUAAUGAACUCCUAAGGUCUGUUUUCCUACAGCUUGCAGUGUCAUGCUAAAAGGACUGCAACAAGAAAUGUUGCUGUGCCUGAGCUGUACUAGAGCCAGAUCAUAAUUUGUAAAUGUGUUUUUUGGGAGCUGCUGAAAUUUUUCACCACCUCCUUGCAGAGAGCAGAACAGUGCAGAACACUUCCCACUGCUAAAAUCUAAGUGAGAUUUUUUUCAGGUUGAUCUUCUUGACAGUGACCAGUAAAGCAUAAACCAAGACUUCCAAAAAAAAAGACUAAGGAAUCUGGGGUACUGCAAUUCCCUUUUGUUCUCUGACAGACAUUUGCAAAGGAACCUGGCAUUUCAGAAGGAGAGACUAUCUGCCUUCUAACAGCUACAACAUAACUGAGCAGUUUUUAUACAUGUAUGCCACCCAUCCCUGGUCCAUCCCUUCACCAGCUCCAUGCCAGGAGGAGAUAAAUUAAUCUGGAGGUAAGCCUUGUGCCUUUGGCUGAAAUGUAUGUGUGCAGGUUUGUUGCUGCUCUCUACUGGCCAAUCCAUAGUUAAACCCAUAAUCAUAGCCCGUAAAU
rnacentral:lncRNA from 1 species